rnacentral:rRNA from 1 species
GAUGAACGCUGGCGGCGUGCCUAAUACAUGCCAGUCGAGCGAACAGACGAGGAGCUUGCUCCUCUGACGUUAGCGGCGGACGGGUGAGUAACACGUGGAUAACCUACCUAUAAGACUGGGAUAACUUCGGGAAACCGGAGCUAAUACCGGAUAAUAUAUUGAACCGCAUGGUUCAAUAGUGAAAGGCGGUUUUGCUGUCACUUAUAGAUGGAUCCGCGCCGCAUUAGCUAGUUGGUAAGGUAACGGCUUACCAAGGCAACGAUGCGUAGCCGACCUGAGAGGGUGAUCGGCCACACUGGAACUGAGACACGGUCCAGACUCCUACGGGAGGCAGCAGUAGGGAAUCUUCCGCAAUGGGCGAAAGCCUGACGGAGCAACGCCGCGUGAGUGAUGAAGGUCUUCGGAUCGUAAAACUCUGUUAUUAGGGAAGAACAAAUGUGUAAGUAACUAUGCACGUCUUGACGGUACCUAAUCAGAAAGCCACGGCUAACUACGUG